UACGGAGGGUGCAAGCGUUAUCCGGAUUCACUGGGUUUAAAGGGUGCGUAGGUGGGCAGGUAAGUCAGUGGUGAAAUCUCCGGGCUUAACUCGGAAACUGCCAUUGAUACUAUCUGUCUUGAAUACCGUGGAGGUUAGCGGAAUAUGUCAUGUAGCGGUGAAAUGCUUAGAUAUGACAUAGAACACCAAUUGCGGAGGCAGCUGGCUACACGAAUAUUGACACUGAUGCACGAAAGCGUGGGGAUCAAACAGG
rnacentral:rRNA from 1 species